CGAACGGGUGAGUAAUGUAUCGGAACGUGCCCAGUAGUGGGGGAGUAACUACUCGAAAGAGUAGCUAAUACCGCAUGAGAACUGAGGUUGAAAGCGGGGGACCUUCGGGCCUCGCGCUACUGGAGCGGCUGAUAUCAGAUUAGGUAGUUGGUGGGGUAAAGGCUUACCAAGCCUGCGAUCUGUAGCUGGUCUGAGAGGACGACCAGCCACACUGGGACUGAGACACGGCCCAG
rnacentral:rRNA from 1 species